GACGAACGCUGGCGGCGUGCUUAACACAUGCAAGUCGAACGGAAAGGCCCUGCUUGCAGGGUGCUCGAGUGGCGAACGGGUGAGUAAAACGUGGGUGAUCUGCCCCCUAUUUUGGGAUAAGACUGGGAAACUGGGUCUAAUACUGGAUAGGACCAUGCUGUAGGCGGGGUGGUGGAAGGAUUAGUUUCGGUAGGGGGUGAGCGCGCGGCCUAUCAGCUGGUUGGUGGGGGAGUGGUCGACUAAGGCGUCGACGGGUAGCCGGCCUGAGAGGGUGGAAGGCGACAUCAGGACGGAGGUGCGGCGGAGACGCCUACGGGAGGCAGCAGUGGGGAAGAUUGUACAAUGAGGGCAGGACGGAUGCAGCGGCGCCGCGGGGGGGGUGACGGCGUUCGGGUUGUAGACAACCGCUUGCGAUGGCGACGCCCUUGUGGCGACGGUAGUGGGAGAAGAAGCACCGGCUAACUACGUG
rnacentral:rRNA from 1 species